UAUGUUUAAUUUAUUAGUAAAAGGAAAGAGACGCAUCUAUUUGAGUCGUGUUUCUUUAGAUUUACAAAAGGUUUCUCUUUCAGAGAAAUAAGGUGUCUUUUCCUCAAAACAGAAAAAAAGUCCAUCAAAGUUAUCUCCAACAUAAAGCGUUUGGAACUAUCUUUUGUAACGGGUACGAUUUAAUUUGUGGUUUUAUAUGGUAUAGUUCAUUUUUAUAUGAAACUAUACUUUCUGAUUAGUGAAACGAAUUCAAUGAUCCUGCAAACUAUGUAUAUGAUCAAAUUCUUGAUAAUCU
rnacentral:lncRNA from 1 species